rnacentral:misc_RNA from 1 species
GUGAAUCAUCAAAUCUUUGAACGCAGAUUGCACUCUCUUCGGAGAGUAUGCCUGUUUGAGGGUCAGUAUUAAUAAAAAUCGGUGUGUUGCUUCUUUGUGACGCUCCGGAGUUUGGGUCAUCUUAAUAUAUCCUUUAGGUUUUAAGAGGCUUAAAAUUGACUUUUUUUUGCGCAUUUUAUUAGAUGUACAUAAAUUUUUUUUUUAUUGGUCUUUCUUAUUGUUCAAAAUCUUAUUAGUUGCACCAAU